GAGUUUGAUCGUGGCUCAGAUUGAACGCUGGCGGCAUGCCUUACACGUGCAAGUCGAACGGCAGCAUGAUCUAGCUUGCUAGAUUGAUGGCGAGUGGCGAACGGGUGAGUAAUACAUCGGAACGUGCCCUGUAGUGGGGGAUAACUAGUCGAAAGAUUAGCUAAUACCGCAUACGACCUGAGGGUGAAAGUGGGGGACCGCAAGGCCUCAUGCUAUAGGAGCGGCCGAUGUCUGAUUAGCUAGUUGGUGGGGUAAAGGCCCACCAAGGCGACGAUCAGUAGCUGGUCUGAGAGGACGAUCAGCCACACUGGGACUGAGACACGGCCCAGACUCCUACGGGAGGCAGCAGUGGGGAAUUUUGGACAAUGGGCGAAAGCCUGAUCCAGCAAUGCCGCGUGUGUGAAGAAGGCCUCGG
rnacentral:rRNA from 1 species